GAGGUCCUAUCGAUUAUGUCACUUGCAUAUGGAUAUAAUGUACAUAGAGCCUGAUUCUGAUCCCAGCCCCUGGUCCUGGUUAUGCCUUUCUCUGCUAGAGAUUUUUACUACCUGGUAUGUUCUCCCAAAAGAUGGAUUUCCUCACUGUGAAGAAAAGAUUCUCCUCAUUUAUCUUUCUUGGAAAGUCCCUUCACAAGGAAAUUCUCACGCUUCUCC